UACGUAGGGGGCAAGCGUUGUCCGGAAUCAUUGGGCGUAAAGAGCGUGUAGGCGGUCCGGUAAGUCGGCUGUGAAAGUCCAGGGCUCAACCCUGGGAUGCCGGUCGAUACUGCCGGACUAGAGUUCGGAAGAGGCGAGUGGAAUUCCCGGUGUAGCGGUGAAAUGCACAGAUAUCGGGAGGAACACCUAUGGCGAAGGCAGCUCGCUGGGACGUUACUGACGCUGAGACGCGAAAGCGUGGGGAGCAAACAGG
rnacentral:rRNA from 1 species